rnacentral:sRNA from 1 species
GACUAAUACAUGUCUUUUAUUGAUAUAAUGAAAUCAACAUUUGAAUAUGUACUAUAUCAACAUUUAAACUCCUUUUGCUUCCAUCCUAUAUAUACUCCUUGAGGAUUUUCAAGCUUUAGAAUCUCUUUGUGACCAACAAUCUCAUUGCCUCUGAUCACCUUUUUCGUAGACUUGUACAUCCACUUCGCAAGAGGCUGAAGACGAAUCUCUCUAUUAAAAAGGUUGUUCCGUAGACGGAGUCUUGGAACAUAAUACUAGUAAUGAUUUUUAGGAAAGAACUUAUGAGUUGGAAGCACUUGAUUCUCUGAUAAUCAAGAUAAAACUCAAAAUGAAUUACCAGAUUGCGCUUGAAGUUGUUGUUUGUGAUAUAUGGCCUCAAAAAAUCCACAACUAGCUCAAUUUCUGAAGAAGAAAACUUGACACCCCUAUGCGGCACUGGACUUUAUAAUAUUUUAGGUUUUGGAUAUU